UCGAGAAUCUUUCGCAAUGCCCGAAAGGGUGACGAAGCGACGCCGCGUGCGGGAAGAAGGCCUUCGGGUUGUAAACCGCUGUCGGGAGUUAGGAAAUGCAAGGAUGUUAAUAGCAUUCUUGCUUGACUAAGGCUCCGGAGGAAGCCACGGCUAACUCUGUGCCAGCAGCCGCGGUAAUACAGAGGCGGCAAGCGUUGUUCGGAAUUAUUGGGCGUAAAGAGCACGUAGGCGGCUGUGUAAGUCGGUUGUGAAAGCCUUCCGCUUAACGGAAGAACGGCAUCCGAUACUGCAUAGCUUGAGUGCGGGAGGGGAGAGUGGAACUUCUGGUGGAGCGGUGAAAUGCGUAGAUAUCAGAAGGAACACCGGCGGCGAAGGCGACUCUCUGGUCCGUAACUGACGCUGAGUGUGCGAAAGCUAGGGGAGCAAACGGGAUUAGAUACCCCGGUAGUCCUAGCCGUAAACGAUGGG
rnacentral:rRNA from 1 species